rnacentral:rRNA from 1 species
UACGUAGGGUGCAAGCGUUAAUCGGAAUUACUGGGCGUAAAGCGUGCGCAGGCGGCUUUGCAAGACAGAUGUGAAAUCCCCGGGCUCAACCUGGGAACUGCAUUUGUGACUGCAAGGCUAGAGUACGGUAGAGGGGGAUGGAAUUCUGCGUGUAGCAGUGAAAUGCGUAGAGAUCGGGAGGAACACCUGUGGCGAAGGCCGGCCCCCUGGCCGGCCCUGACGCUGAGACGCGAAAGCGCGGGGAGCGAACGGG